rnacentral:rRNA from 1 species
CUACGGGGGGCUCCAGUGAGGAAUAUUGCACAAUGGGGGGAACCCUGAUGCAGCAACGCCGCGUGGAGGAUGACGCAUUUCGGUGUGUAAACUCCUUUUAUAUGUCAAGAAAAUGACGGUAGCAUAUGAAUAAGCGCCGGCUAACUCCGUGCCAGCAGCCGCGGUAAUACGGAGGGCGCAAGCGCUACUCGGAAUCACUGGGCGUAAAGGACGCGUAGGCGGGUUGAAAAGUCAGGUGUGAAAGCCUACAGCUUAACUGUAGAACUGCACUUGAAACUCUCAAUCUAGAGUAUGGGAGGGGCAGAUGGAAUUAGUGGUGUAGGGGUAAAAUCCGUAGAUAUCACUAGGAAUACCUAAAGCGAAGGCGAUCUGCUGGAACAUUACUGACGCUAAGGCGUGAAAGCGUGGGGAGCAAACAGGAUUAGAUACCCGAGUAGUC